AGGAGUUCAUCUUGAGAUGACAGGCCAAAACGUCACAGAGUGCAUUGGUGGAUCACGAACUGUGACCUUUGAUGAUCUGAGCUCACGUUACCACACUCACUGUGAUCCUAGGCUCAAUGCAUCUCAAUCCCUUGAGCUCUCAUUCAUUAUCGCAGAACGUUUGAGGAAAAGGAGGCUCGGAUCGCAAAGCACAUUAGGGCAAUAGAUAUUUGGAAAUGUUCAAGUACUGCCUUUUUUUAUUUACUUCUUCACUUAUAUCAUGAAUGUUUGUAUUAAAAAAAAUUGUAUUUUCUUAAAUCCUAUUUGGAGGAUAUAUGUUAUGUUUACCCUACGUGCAUACUGAAAUUGUUUUAAUGUAAUGAGAGUUUGGUGAGACUAAGCAAUAAAGCAAGGAAGUUACU
rnacentral:misc_RNA from 1 species